GUCAAACUGGAUCUUCAUCAGCGGCGGCAGGUGCCAGUUCAAAGGUAGCGAAGUGCUUCGUCGCAUCAGUGGCGACCCGCACGAAU
rnacentral:rRNA from 1 species